GACGAACGCUGGCGGCGUGCCUAAUACAUGCAAGUAGAACGCUGAAGCGAGGAGCUUACUCUUCUUGGAUGAGUUGCGAACGGGUGAGUAACGCGUAGGUAACCUGCCUUGUAGCGGGGGAUAACUAUUGGAAACGAUAGCUAAUACCGCAUAACAAUGGAUGACACAUGUCAUUUAUUUGAAAGGGGCAAUUGCUCCACUACAAGAUGGACCUGCGUUGUAUUAGCUAGUAGGUGAGGUAAUGGCUCACCUAGGCGACGAUACAUAGCCGACCUGAGAGGGUGAUCGGCCACACUGGGACUGAGACACGGCCCAGACUCCUACGGGAGGCAGCAGUAGGGAAUCUUCGGCAAUGGGGGCAACCCUGACCGAGCAACGCCGCGUGAGUGAAGAAGGUUUUCGGAUCGUAAAGCUCGGUUGUAAGUCAAGAACGGGUGUGAGAGUGGAAAGUUCACACUGUGACGGUAGCUUACCAGAAAGGGACGGCUAACUACGUG
rnacentral:rRNA from 1 species